UCCAUGGGAAGGCUGGGAAACAUGUCCAGAUAUAGGAGGAAAAGGAAGAGAAAGGAGACCUCUGAAUCUUCUGGAAGCUGCUUGAGCCGUUGGGGGGUGGGGUCCCAGCCGGAAGCAGCUGAAUGGAGGUGUGGAGGGCUGGGCUCCCCGGCUGGGACCUCGAUGGUUUUACUUGUGAAUGGCGCGGUCUGUGACCACACAGAGGCAAAACGAUGAUGUCAUACGAGGGCCCCCUUCUUCCGUGAGGAGCCAGCAGCCAGGCUCAGACAGAUGACCAUAUUCCAGGGAUGGACUGAGGGCUCACACAGCAAGAGCGUCACAGAGCUGCGGUGAACAGGGCCCCUGCUGCCCACUUCCUCCUGCAGAGCCUUCCCUGCUUGGCCCUUGUCCCUGCCCUCUUCCCCUUUGCUGCCCACUUAUUGCCACGCAGAGUUCCCCAUGGGAUGAGACUGGAGGUGCGCCCUCCUCUGGAGGUUGCUUACAUUUUAAAUGAGUGACGGCUGAACAACUCAGGUCUCAAAACCCCAAGAAACGACCUUCUGAUGCUCGAUGAGAGCCAAGGGUUUCCUCCGGGGCAGCCGGGUCUGUUUCGCUUAUUCAGAGGAACGUGCCGUGGUCAGGCUGGCUCGAAGUCCAGUGCCUCCAAGUCCCCCUUCCUUGGUGUGUGUCUGUUUGAGGCAGGUGCCUUCUCCUCCAGCCAAGGCCACAGUGUCACUCAGGAUAGGUACUGUGUCUCUUGCUGCAAGUGGAGACUGACCUGGGCCCUUGGCGCCACCUCUCUGCCGUGCCCCCAGCCUCGGAGCUCUGUUUGUUAGCCAGCAGAUAAGAAAAGGCAGCCUGGUGUCCUUUCUUUCAGACCCAUGCCCUCUCUCUCCUCCUUUGACUUCAUAAAUAUCGGUUACCAUGCCUGUGUUUUCAAUGACCUGGUGACUUCCGGCUGCUCCAGCCAAUGGGGAUGGGAGCUGCGAUCCUUAGAUAAAAGGCUUUGUGGGGCAUGACUCAUCCUUGGAGACAUCUAACUCGCUUGGCUGUUGUUAAGUGCCUGGUUCUGUAAAUAUUGACAGUUAGAAACCAUCCCAAGAGCUACCAGGCAAUGAUCUGGAAGGUAAUGUGUAUGAAUAUGGCCAGGGAUUAGGCAACACUCUUCCUUUGCUACGAUGCAGCCACUGAUAAAUAU